rnacentral:rRNA from 1 species
UACAGAGGGUGCGAGCGUUGUUCGGAAUUACUGGGCGUAAAGCGCGCGCAGGCGGCCUUUUAAGUCUCGUGGUGAAAUGCCGGGGCUCAACCCCGUGCCCGCCGGAGAUACUGGGAGGCUGGAGACAUGUAGAGGCAAGCGGAAUUCCGGGUGUAGCGGUGGAAUGCGUAGAGAUCCGGAAGAACACCGGAGGCGAAGGCGGCUUGCUGGGCAUUGUCUGACGCUGAGGCGCGAAAGCGUGGGGAGCGGACAGG